rnacentral:rRNA from 1 species
GACGAACGCUGGCGGCGUGCUUAACACAUGCAAGUCGAACGGUAAACCCGUGGCUUGGUCUGGUGGUUGAGUGGCGAACGGGUGAGUAACACGUGAGUAACCUGCCCUUGACUCUGGGAUAACCUCUGGAAACUGGGGCUAAUACCGGAUAGGAGCUCCUGCCGCAUGAUGGGGGUUGGAAAGUUUUGUCGGUUGGGGAUGGACUCGCGGCCUAUCAGCUUGUUGGUGAGGUAGUGGCUUACCAAGGCAUCGACGGGUAGCCGGCCUGAGAGGGUGACCGGACUCGGUGGGACUGAGGGACGACCCAGACUCGGACGGGAGCAGUGGGGAAGAAUGCACGCUGAGUGAGAGCAUGCUGCAGGCAGGACGCGCGCGGGAUGGAGGACUGCGGGUUGUAUGCAGACCUCAGUAGGCAAGAAGGGAGCCGGCUUGACGGUAACUGCAGAAAAAGCACCGGCUAACUACGUG